UGGGAGGCGGAGCUUGCAGUGAGCCGAGAUCGCACCACUGCACUCCAGUCUGGGCGACAGAGCGAGACUCCAUCUCAAAAAAAAAAUUAAUAUCUUUUUGUUUCAAAUUGAAGAACCCCUGUUAGCCUUUCUUGUAACGACAGGUCUACUGAUGAUGAACUCCCUUAGUUUUUGUUUGUGUUGGGAAGUUUUGAUCUCCCCUUCAUUACUGAGGGACAGCUUUGCCAGGAUAGUAUUCUUGGUUGGCAGGGCUUUCUUUUGCUUUUGGCAUUUUGAAUAUAUCCCACUCUCUUCAGGCCUACAAAGUUUCUGCUGAGAAAUCUGCUGAUAGUCUUAUGCAGGGAUAAGGGGGGAUUUUUUGAAAAGAGUUGCUUUUCUCUUGCUGCUGUCAAAAUUAUCUCUAGCUUUGACUUUUGGCAGUUUGAUUAUAAUGUGUCUUGGUGAAGACUUCUUUAUGCUCAAUUUAUUUGGGGUUCUUUGGGCUUCAUGGAUCUGGAUGAUCAUUUUCUUCUCUAGUUUUGGGAAGUUUCCUGUCAUUAUUUUUUUUUAAUAAGGUUUUUGCCCCUUUCCCUUUCUCUGCUUCAUCUGGGACUCCCAGAAUAUGUAUACUGUUUUGCUUGAUGAUAUUCCCAAUUCCCAUAGGCUUUCUUCACUCUUUUUCAUUCUUUUUUUCUUUUUGUUACUCUGCCUGGAUAAUUUCCAAUGAUCUAUCUUUGAGUUUGUAUUUUUAAAAGUCAGGGCCUUACUCUCUCACCCUUGCUGGGGUGCAGUGGCACAGUCGGGGAUCACUGCACCCUUGACCUCCCAGGCUCAAAUGAUUCUCCCACCUCAGCCUCCCACAUAGCUGGGACUAAAGGCUGUGCCACCAUGCCCAGCUAAUUUUUGUACUUUUUGUAGAAACAGGGUUUUUGCCAUGUUGCCCAGGCUGGUCUCAAAUUUCUGAACUCAAGUGAUCCUCCCACCUUGGCCCCCCAAAAGUGUUGAGAUUAUAGGCAUGAGCCACCACCCCUGGCCGAGUUCAUUAAUUAUUUUUUCCACUUCAUCACAUCUUCUAUUGAAGCUCUCUAUUGAAUACAAUGUCUGACAUUGUAUUCUUCAGCUCCAGAAUUUGUUUGGUCCUCUUUUAUAGUUUCUUCCUCUUUAUAACUUUGCAUUUUGUUCAUGUAUCGUUUUCCUGGAUUUCGCUUAGUCAUCUAUCUGUGUCCUCUUGAAGGUCACUGAGCUUCUUUAAGAUGAUUACUUUAGGCCAGGCAUGGUGGCUUGUGCUUGCAAUCCCAGCACUUUGGGAGGCCAAGGCAGGAGGAUUGCUUGACGCCAGGAGUUUGAAACCAGCCUAGGCAACAUAGUGAGACUUGUCUCGACAAAGAAAAAAAAAAAAAAAUUAAAGAUGAUUAUUUUUGAAUCCUUUGUCAGAGAGUUUGUAAGUCCCUUUUUUCUUUCUUUUCUUUUCUUUUUUUUUUUUUUUUUUUUUUUUUUUUUUUUUUUUUUUUUUUUGAGAUGGAGUCUUGCUCUGUCACCUAGACUGGAGUGCAGUGGCGCAAUCUCGGCUCACUGCAACCUCUACUUCCCAGGUUCAAGUGAUUCUCCUACCUCAGCCUCCUGAGUAGCUGGUAUUACAGGCGUGCACCAUCACGCCCGGCUAAUUUUUGUGUUUUCAGUAGAGAUGGGGUUUCACCAUGUUGGUCAGGCUGGUCUCGAACUCCUGACCUUGUGAUCUGCCUGCCUUGGCCUCCCAAAGUGUUGGGAUUACAGGUGUAAGCCACUGAGCCUGGCCAUUAAGUCCCCAUUUCUUUGGGGUCAACUAUUAGAGCUUUAUUUUGUUGCUUUAAAGGUGUCAUAUUUCCUUGAUUCUUUGUAUAUAUAUAUUUUUGAAGACUUGCGCUGCUAUCUUCACAUUUGAAGAAGCGGUCACCUCCUUUAGUCUUACUUGUUUCUUAUUAAAAUUUUUUUAAUGUUUUUUUUUAAGAGAUGGGAUCUCACUAUGUUGCCCAGGGUGGUCUCAAACUCCUGGCCUCAAGUGAUCCUCCCACCUCAGCCUCCCAAAGUGCUGAGAUUACAGGUGUAAGCUACCAUGCCUGGCUGUCCCCCAGUCUUUGUUGACUGGCUUUGGGAGAGAAAGACCUUCAUCAGUCAUCCUAGCUAAGGAUUUGAGGGAUCGCUCAGAUCUUUUCUGUAGAUACACCCACUCUACUCCUGUUGCUCCCUCUUAGGGAGAGAAGUCUUAGGUUGUAAGCUCCUCUCAAUCCUCCAAAGCUGGGUCUACACUGAGCACCUCCCAUUUUCCCUAAUGCAGUGCUCUGAAGCAUUCAAGGUUGGGCACCUUCUCCCAGUCCAGCAGAGUCAAGCCGGCUGCUCAGAUUUGCAUCUGCCGUUGAGAUCUGUGUACUGUUUGGGAGGAGGGUGCAUGAGACACCAUAUGCUCAGGGGUACGUGGAGUGCUGGGGGCAUGGAUCAGUUGGUUGGGGGGCCCACAGGCAAGUUGUUCUGUGGGUUCAUGGGCGGGCCUCCUGGUGGAGUGUUAGCUGGUUAGUGGGAUCCAUGGCUGGCUGUUGGUUGCUAGGCAUGUCCUUCCCUUCUCCUAGCAGUCCCCAGGUGACUCAGCCAUGCUGAUUCCUCAGUGUUCUGGGGAGAGACACAGGUGGGCUAUUGGGCAGCAUCCUAUAAGGUUGGGGAAGCUGGUGCUCACUCAGCACUCAGUUUCCCCUGUGGGAGAAACCACAGGCCCAGGGGGGCCUCAUUGGAGGAGCACUAGCACAGGUAAACUGAACCUUCUUAGCCUCUUCGGUGUGCUCUCUUUGCCCUGUGGGGUGCUAGAACCUCUCAGUGUUUCUGUGGGGGCAUGAGGGCUGGAACCUCCUAUUCUGUCACCUUCCUGGCCUCUUCCUACAAUUAUUUUUAUGCUCAAAUUGCCCCCGAUUUGGACAGGGGGAGAGCCUUCAGGCUGCUCCUCCAGCCCUCUCACAUGUCCCCAACGUUGUUCAGCAUUUCCUUAUUUUCCAGCACUAGACAUUCUAAGGCUCACCCUGUACUCUCUCUGCUCUUCCCUGGAAAUAGUCAUUUCUCCAAAGAGUUCUGUUCCCUUGGAAUAGAGAAUGGUAUUUACAAACCAAGAAAUGGAUUUCAGGUGUGCCAGUUGUUUCUGGGGUGGCAUUGCUUCUAGGCCCCUUCGGUGGACAGAGCUGGGAAAGAAACUGUGUGUAUCAUAUAUAUCUGCACACGUAAGCUGUGUGUGUAUCAUAUAUAAUACAUCUGCACAUAUAAACUGUGUAUGUAUCAUAUAUAAUACAUCUGCACUUAUAAACUGUGUAUGUAUCAUAUAUUAAUACAUCUGCACAUAUAAACUAUCAUCUGUACAUAUAAACUGUAUAUCAUAUAUAUCUGCACAUAUAAACAGUAUCAUAUAAUACAUCUGCACAUGUAAACUGUAUCAUAUCUGCACAUAUAAACUGUAUAUCAUAUAUAUCUGCACAUAUAAACUAUCAUAUAUAAUACAUCUGCACAUACAAACUAUCAUAUCUGCACAUAUAAACUAUAUCAUAUAUAUCUGCACAUAUAAACUAUCAUAUAUAAUACAUCUGCACAUACAAACUAUGUAUCAUAUAUAAUACAUCUGCACUUAUAAACUCUGUGUAUCAUACAUAAUACAUCUGCACAUAUAAACUAUCAUAUCUGUACAUAUAAACUGUGUAUAUCAUAUAUAUCUGCACAUAUAAACUGUAUCAUAUAUAAUACAUCUGCACAUAUAAACUAUCAUAUCUGCACAUAUAAACUAUCAUAUCUGCACAUAUAAACUAUCAUAUAUCUGCACAUAUAAACUGUAUCAUAUAUAAUACAUCUGCACAUAUAAACUGUAUCAUAAUACAUCUGCACAUAUAAACUGUCAUGUAUAUCUGCACAUAUAAACUGUAUCAUAUAUAUUUGCACAUAUAAACUGUGUGUAUCAUAUAAUACAUCUGCACAUAUAAACUAUCAUAUAUAAUACAUCUGCACAUAGAAACUGUGUAUCAUAUAUCUGCACAUAUAAGCUGUGUGUGUAUCAUAUAUAUCUGCACAUAUAAACUGUGUGUAUCAUAUAUAAUACAUCUGCACAUAUAAAUGUGUGUAUCAUAUAUAUCCACACAUAUAAACUGUGUGUGUAUCAUAUAUCUACACAUAUAAACUGUGUGUAUCAUAUAUAAUACAUCUGCACAUAUAAACUGUGUGUAUCAUAUAUAUCCGCACAUAUAAACUGUGUGUGUAUCAUAUAUAUCUGCACAUAUAAACUGUGUGUGUAUCAUAUAUAAUACAUCUGCACACAUGCUUCUCUGUAUUGAAAACCAAAUUGUCACGGACCACUCCCAUUCUCACGCAGCAUUUAGGGCUGUGGCUAGCCUUUCCCAGCUGUAAGAAACCUGUCUUUCAGCAUGAUAAACACAUUUACUUAUUUGCUCAGUCCUCUAAUAUGCAGAAAGUAGUUUUAGAAUUGCCAAAACCAUACAACUUGGAAAAACAAGCAUGAUUACUUCAAGAUGUGUUUGUAGCUCCUUCUGUCCUGGCAUUGGACGUGGAGAGAAAGCACAGACUGUUCCAAGUUUCAUUUUUCCCCUUCUCUGAAACGCAGAGAGCGUUGUUUGUUUCUGUUUGUAUUUCAUUUGGGUCCUCCCUCUAGCCUUAUUCAUAAAUUUGUAAAUGAUCUUUAACAAUCUGUUAUAUUUAUGAUGUUUUACUGCGUGCUGCCUGUGAAAAUGUUUCCUUCUUCUGACACGUUCCAGAACAACUAGGCUUUUAAAUUCCAAAUAUUCCUGUUUCACAAUAAACCAGAUGAGGGCCUCUGUUGUGCCACAGCUUUUGGAAUGUGGUUUAUUACCAAUAGAAGUGGCUGCGUGGCUUGUUAUGGUUUCAAUUACACGUGAGUAACAACCGGGGCCCUUCUGUGUCAGGUGCUGCUGAUCAAGGCUGGCUAAUGGGGACCUCGCUGUCCAGAACGGGCGUUUCCCAUGGCCCGGCCCAGCUGUUUACCACUUCUGUCUACCAUUUCAGAGGGGCUUUGCGGAGAUUAAAUGAGGUGAAGCGCUCUGAGAACCUCAGUCCUAAAGAAUAGCAGUUAUACUGGUUUUUGUAUUAUAUUUAUAUAUUCUUCUUGUUAAUAUACUGGUUUUAAUGUUCAUCGUUCUCUUGGGAUCCCAUGACAGUGAGCCUGGUGUACCUGAGGUCUGGGAUACUCACACCUCUCCCCAGUCCCAUGCUCCCCACUGUGGCAGUGCCUGUCAGGGACCCUGCUGACCCCAGGAAGCCUCGGUGUCCCCAGCGCUGGCUCUGCUCACACAGGCAGCAGGCUUAGUGUUCUCUGGCCUGGCUGCACUGACUGGACCAGGGACAGGGGAAGGGCCCCAAAGCACCCUGUUCCAGGCAGCCGGCCAGUCGUGGCCGAGGAGCUCCAUUCAACAGUGGCACCCAGAGGGGCCAGGGUCUCAUAAAGCUGGUCAGACGCCCCCUCUGGGUAGGGGUGUAGGAAGCGGCUGUGCAGCCGGGUCCCAGGUAGGGAGGCAUAGAGUGAAGGCUGUGAGCAGGAGCCCUGGGGCGGAGGGCCAGGAGAAGGCUGGGCACAGGUCCAUCGGUGGCAGCUGGGUGGGCAGAGCAGAGAGGCUGCAUCUGCACGACGGCAGGGCCCUGGUGUGGGAACAGCAGACGGGGCCCCUGGGUGCGGCGCCUCCUUCCCACAUCCCUGCUGCUCCUGCAUCUGCUGCUGGAGAAGACCACGACGUGCUCAGACCCCGGCACUGGAGAACUCCAGAUGUGGUGAGGGCUGCACGUUAGCUGCAUACGCACAUCUGGAAGGUGAGGCAGACGUGCCCACCGCCUCCAUGCCUGGCCCACAGUUGUGGGCAUGCAGAGCUCCUCUGUGGCAGGCCCAGGCUGCACCAGCUGCCUGGAGAGGCACUGGGGGCGGGGCCUCACUUGAGGGGCAGAUUCUCCCACCCAGCCAGUCCAGGCCCAGCGGCUGGAGCAUCCCGUCCAGCAAAUUGUCCUGCAAGUUGCCCUGGAGACCCAGCGUCUCUCAUCACGUCUCACUCCCCUGCCAGAUGCCUCUGCGGCAAUAACGAGAGUGGCUCUGCCUUCUGCACUGAAUGCCGACAGGUGACCAGAACAUGACACUGGGGUUAUGCAGUGCCCUGGUUGAUAUUCUAGUUCAUCAGGGAGCUUCUGGAAUGAUUUUUUUUUUCUUUUUUUUUUUUUUUUGAGACAGAGUCUCUCUCUGUCGCCCAGGCUGGAGUGCAAUGGAGCAAUCUUGGCUCACCACAACCUCUGCCUCCGGGGUUCAAGUGAUUCUCCUGUCUGAGCCUCCUGAGUAGCUGGGAUUACAGGUGUCCACCACUAUCACUCAGUUAAUUUUUAUAUUUUUAGUAGAGAUGGGGUUUCACCAUGUUGCCUGGGCUGGUCUCAAACUCCUGACCUCAGGUGAUCUGCCUCCUCAGCCUCCCAAAGUGCUGGGAUUACAGGCAUGAGCCACCUCACCCAGCCAACUUUCUUUUGCUUCACUUUUCCUCUGGUUGCCCCAUCUUUAUUGUCAAGUCCUGUUAAGAGGAACAACAUUAAAAUGAGAGCUUUCAUGGCAAAAAGGUUGCUGUGGGUUGAGCUUGCAAUGUUAGCUGCGUGUUAGGAUUCAGCUGACAUCUGUCUCUGGAGUCUCGCCCUUUCUGUAAUUCGCUUUUGACUGUAAUAAAUGUUGUACAGGCCAGGUGCAGUGACUCACACCUGUAAUCCCAGCACUUUGCAAGGCCAAGGCAGGUGGACCACGAGGUCAGGAGAUCGAGAUCAUCCUGGCUAACACGGUGAAACCCCGUCUCCACUGAAAAUACAGAAAAUUAGCUGGGUGUGGUGGCACCUGCCUGUGGUCCCAGCUAUU
rnacentral:lncRNA from 1 species